rnacentral:lncRNA from 1 species
AUCAGAACGGAGCAAAUUUACCCCAUUGUAAAUGGAUAUGAUUUUGGACAUUAAUAUAAAAAACAAAAAUUCGACGAACAUGGAUACGGAUAUAGAUUUUGACCGUACCUGACUCGACUCGAACCCGACCCGAACCCGAUCCGAACCUGAAUUUAUUUUAUAUUAUAUAUAAUAUGUAUAUAAAAAUUUGAUAUUAUAUUUGAAUUUAUAUUUUAAAAUUUUAAAUUUAAUAUAAUAUAUUUUGAAAUAUUGAAAAGAGAAAUAAUUGUUUCGGAUUCGGAUUUUCGGAUUCAGGUUUGGGUUUGGGUUCGGAUUUCAGGUUUUUGGUCGGGUUUGGAUUUGGGUUUUUGAAAAUCUGUCCAAAAUCCGAUCCGUUGACAUCCCUACUUAUAAAUUAUUUUCGAUGGUAGGAUAUCUGAUUCGAUGAUCGGCUCCAUUAGAUAUAAUCAACGCUAUUAGAAUUAUUUAGAAACCAAUUUUCAUAAUUUUUUGAUUUUAUUUGCCUAGUGAACGAGUAGCCUCAAGAUGAACGGCUGAAAAUAAAAAUUAUAUAAAAAAUAAUAAUAAAAUAUUCAAAUAUCAAAUCGAAAGUAUUAUUCUUAUUUUGAUGUUAAGUAGAAUUUUUUUUUAAAAAUUUAUAUAAUUUGAAUUCUUCUACACCGUUCAACUUGCAAACCUGCCACAUCGGCCGUUAAAAUAGCCAUUUUUUAGACCCUUUGAUCACUUGUUAAACGAUGUCAGAAAAUUAUAAAAUUUGAUUUCUAAAUAGUUCUAAACAUAGAUCAUACUUAACGGAGCCGGUCAUCAAAUCGGAUAUCCCAUAAUCGAAAACAAUUUACAAGUAGGGGUGGCAAUCCAGCUCGCUGUUCGCGAGCCAGCUUGUGUUCGGCUCGAAAUGAGCUCGAGAUCGGCUCGCUCGUUUAGUAAACGAGUCGAACACGACUGAUUUUUCAGCUCGUUUAAUAAACGAGCCAAACACCGAGCUUGGAGGUACUCGCAAAUCAAAGUCGGUUCCGGCCUUGAUAACAGCGUCGAAUAUAUAUAUUUAUAUUUAUAAUAAUGUUAUUUAAUUUAUAUUUUUAUAUACUAAAAUAAAUAAUUAUAUAUAAUAUAUAUAUUUAUUAUUUAAUUUUUAGCAAAAUAAAAAUAUAAAUUCGAGCUUAAUUAUAAAAAAAUUUAUUUAUAUGUAAAGUUUCAAUUAUUAGAUCAAAGUCUAAUAAAUAAAAUUUUAUAAAUUUAUUUUUUAUAUAUAUUUAAUCUAAUUUUUUUUAAUUUAUUGUUCGUUGGCUAGCUCGUGAGCCGGCUCGUGUUCGGUUCGUUAAUAAACGAGCCGAGCACGAGCUAAAUUUUUCGGCUCGAUACUUUAAAGAGCCAGCUCGUAUUCGGUUCGUUUAAUAAACGAGCCGAACACGAGCCGACCCCAGCUCACUCGUGUUCGGCUCGUUUACACCCCUACCUUAUACA